rnacentral:rRNA from 1 species
UACGGAGGAUCCAAGCGUUAUCCGGAUUUAUUGGGUUUAAAGGGUGCGUAGGUGGCCUAUUAAGUCAGUGCUGAAAUAUCCCGGCUUAACCGGGAGGGUGGCAUUGAUACUGAUGGGCUUGAGUAAAGUUGAGGUAGGCGGAAUUGACGGUGUAGCGGUGAAAUGCUUAGAUAUCGUCAAGAACACCGAUUGCGAAGGCAGCUUACUAAGCUUUAACUGACACUGAGGCACGAAAGUGUGGGGAUCAAACAGG